rnacentral:rRNA from 1 species
GACAUGCAAGUCGAACGGAAAUCGUUGUAAUGAUGUUGAAUGAACAGAGAACUGUUCAAGGGAAUGAAAUUGACUUACAACAAUGGUUUAGUGGCGGACUGGUGAGUAACACGUAAGCAAUCUACCUACAAGAGGGGAACAACAGUGAGAAAUCACUGCUAAUACCGCAUAAGCUAACGCCUUCGCAUGAAGAAGUUAGAAAAGGAGUAAUCCGCUUGUAGAUGAGCUUGCGUCUGAUUAGCUAGUUGGUGUGGUAACGGCAUACCAAGGCAACGAUCAGUAGCUGUGCUGAGAGGCAGAACAGCCACAUUGGGACUGAGAUACGGCCCAGACUCCUACGGGAGGCAGCAGUCGGGAAUAUUGCACAAUGGAGGAAACUCUGAAUGCAGUGACGCCGCGUAUAGGAAGAAGGUUUUCGGAUUGUAAACUAUUGUAGACAGGGAAGAGUAAGGACAGUACCUGAAAAGUAAGCCCCGGCUAACUAUGUGCCAGCAGCCGC